UCGGUUGAUCCUGCCGGAGGUUACUGCUAUAGGAGUUCGAUUAAGCCAUGCGAGUCUAAAGGUUUCUUCGGAAACCUUGGCGGACUGCUCAGUAACACGUGGAUAACCUACCCUUGGGACUGGAAUAACCCCGGGAAACUGGGGAUAAUACCGGAUAGAUCAGGGAUGCUGGAAUGCACCUUGAUCCAAAGCUCCGGCGCCCAAGGAUGGGUCUGCGGCCUAUCAGGUAGUAGUGGGUGUAACGUACCUACUAGCCAACGACGGGUACGGGUUGUGAGAGCAAGAGCCCGGAGAUGGAUUCUGAGACACGAAUCCAGGCCCUACGGGGUGCAGCAGGCGCGAAACCUUUACAAUGUGCGAAAGCAUGAUAAGGGAACUCCGAGUGCCAGCAUCUAAUGUUGGCUGUCCUUGUGCCUAAAACGCACAAGAUAGCAAGGGCCGGGUAAGACCGGUGCCAGCCGCCGCGGUAACACCGGCGGCCCGAGUGGUAGCCGCUAUUAUUGGGUCUAAAGGGUCCGUAGCCGGUUCGAUAAGUCCUCUGGGAAAUCUGGUUGCUUAACAAUCAGACUGCCAAGGGAUACUGUCGAACUUGAGACCGGGAGANGUAAGAGGUACUUCAGGGGUAGGAGUGAAAUCUUGUAAUCCCUGGGGNACCAUCUGUGGCGAANGCGUCUUANCANAACGGGUCUGACNGGUGAGGNACGAAAGCUGGGGGCGCAAACCGGNAUUANNUACCCNGGUAGUCCCNGCCGUAANCNAUGCUCGCUAUGUGUCAGGUACGGUGUGACCGUAUCUGGU
rnacentral:rRNA from 1 species